UACGGAGGGUGCUCGCGUUGUUCGGACUCACUGGGCGUAAAGCGCUUGUAGGCGGCCCACUAAGUCUGAUGUGAAAGCCCGGGGCUCACCCCCGGAAGUGCAUUGGAAACUGGUGGACUCGAGUCCCGGAGAGGAGGGUGGAAUUCCUGGUGUAGCGGUGAAAUGCGUAGAUAUCAGGAGGAACACCGGUGGCGAAGGCGGCCCUCUGGACGGUGACUGACGCUGAGACGCGAAAGCGUGGGGAGCAAACAGG
rnacentral:rRNA from 1 species